AAUGUUGGCUAGAUACUCACGUCUAAAUAGCCACGGUUGUAACAGAAGCCAUUCUUUCCAGGAAAAAAAUGGCAUUCCACGAACGGAUUCCGCCUGCAACUCAAGCACCCAAGUGCCUUCCUUCAAGACAUCCAUGGGAGCAAAUCCUCAUACUUCAGUAGGCGGAAGUGCUUUGUCCCACACUGUCAUGGAGAGUAGAAGACUGUGUACUAAAGAGCCAAUUCUAAUUAAAGUAAUACUAUCUCCUGUUUCACCGGACACAAUAUUAAGUAGGACAAGCGUCUGUUUGUUUCCACUUUAUGCGCGUGAUGGUGGUGAGCUCACUGAGUCCCAGCCCGGUUUGGAGCUACGGCCACGAUUUGCGCCCAGAGGCUACGCCAGCGAAUACGGUGUUUACCCUGUCUAAGGAGUCGCUUUUGCACCAGGGGCGCAAGGCUGAUGUGGUGGUUCCAGGAAGAAUCAACAGACUUUUGAAAAGGGCAAACAUCCUGCUUCAGAGAACUGUUCUCAGAUUCAGCUAAUGAUCUGCAGAAGAACACCACCAUAGUUCUAACCUGGAAACAGGACUCCACAGCUUGACCAAUUACCUGAACCACAACACUUGAGUCCAAAGGAUUUUGGCUGCUUCCAAAAGUCCAAUCAACCCUUAAAGCUACCAGUGAGACUAUUCAGACAAGCAUGAAGUGAGCUCUGAAGUCAAUGCCAAAUGCUUUGGACAAUGGCAGGAUCCCUGGGCAGAGGCCAAUUUACCAUGAAGCUAAUAAAGCUUAAGCUUCUGGGCCCCUUUUGAGGCCCUGAGAGGGGUCCUAGCAAUGUGUUCACAUAUUUGCCUUUUUGUUGCAAAAUUUGCAAAACUGGCUUUCAAAGCUGUCGGGAUGAGCCCUGCUGGACCUGUCUGGGAAGCUUGUUAAACUGCACCGAUGAACUCAUCUAUUCCCCAAAUUGUGCUGAUGACCUCAUCAUCUGCAGCUGUGCAGCUCGAAGCUCGCCCACCCUCCAACUCCCCGGGGAUCACAUCUGGUGGGGAGCCUUGGUACCUGGGGCGGACACAUCUGGAGGUGACUGUCUCUGGAAAUGGAGUGUUUGUAACCUCCUUUCACUCUUAGCGAUGCAGCCAAGUGGCAGAGAAGGCUUCGGCAAUUUUCUCCCUUGGAAGACAGCCCUUUGGUCUUCAUUCAGUAAGGAUUUGCAGGGGAAAACAGUGAGGUUAAGCUUAGCGCUUCAGAUCCCUUUUCAUUUUUCACGUAUACAUUCAUGAGUCAUUGCAGAAAUGAUAUUGGCGGGCACCUAGGGGGCUCUUUCAGCUAAGUUUUGACUCUGGGUUUCAGCUCAGGUCAUGGUCUCACGGUUCAUGAGUUCAAGCCCUGCAUCAGGCCCCAUCCGCGACGAAAGUACAGAGCCCGCUUGGGAUUCUCUCUCUCCCUCUUUCUCUGCCCUUCCCCUGCUCAUGCUCGCUCUCUCUCCAAAUAAAUAAAUUAACUGGAAAA